GUUUCGGCUAAGCCAUGCGAGUCUAGGGAUCGCAAGAUACCGGCAUACUGCUCAGUAUCACGCGGAUAAUCUGCCCCCAGGUGAAGAAUACCCUCGGGAAACUGAGGCUAAUACUUCAUAAUCACUAUAUGCUGGAAUGCUUUGGUGAUGAAAGAAUUUCGCCUGAGGAUGAGUCUGCGGCCUAUCAGGUCGUAUGUGGUGUAAUGGACCACAUAGCCUAAGACGGGUACGGGCCUUGAAAGAGGGAGCCCGGAGAUGGACUCUGAGACAUUAGUCCAGGCCCUACGGGGCGCAGCAGGCGCGAAAACUGUGCAAUGCGCGAAAGCGCGACACGGGAAGCCUGAGUGCCUUAACACAGUUAAGGCUUUUCUCAAGCCUAAAAAGCUUGAGGAA
rnacentral:rRNA from 1 species